GAUGAACGCUGGCGGCGCGCCUAACACAUGCAAGUCGAACGGCACCUGCCCUCGGGCAGAAGCGAGUGGCGAACGGCUGAGUAACACGUGGAGAACCUGCCCCCUCCCCCGGGAUAGCCGCCCGAAAGGACGGGUAAUACCGGAUACCCCCGGGAGCCGCAUGGCUCCCGGGCUAAAGCCCCGACGGGAGGGGAUGGCCGCCGCGGCCCAUCAGGUAGACGGCGGGGUGAUGGCCCACCGUGCCGACAACGGGUAGCCGGGUUGAGAGACCGACCGGCCAGAUUGGGACUGCGACACGGCCCAGACUCCUACGGGAGGCAGCAGUGGGGAAUCUUGCGCAAUGGGGGGAACCCUGACGCAGCGACGCCGCGUGCGGGACGGAGGCCUUCGGGUCGUAAACCGCUUUCAGCAGGGAAGAGUCAAGACUGUACCUGCAGAAGAAGCCCCGGCUAACUACGUGCCAGCCGCCGCGGUAAUAC
rnacentral:rRNA from 1 species